AUGGAUCCCUCCGCGGCCAAAGCUCUCUGGGACGGGCUUACGUCGGAGCAGAAGAAGGCCAUGGCCGCCAUUGCUGCCGACUGGCAGGACGACAUGCAGUCGGAGGACGUGCAAAUGGAGGGCGCCUCCUCCGAUGAGCCAGCUCGAUCCUCCUCUUCCUCCGCGGCACCCUCCGCCAACGCUCCACCCUCGUGGGUGCAUUGCACCAUGACCAUCGGCAAGACCUGUUCCUAUUAUAUGGACAUGGUGCGGGAGGAGCGGGAGGAGCACACUGACGCCGACGCUGGCUACAACCACAACCUCCUCUAG
rnacentral:rRNA from 1 species